AGAGGUGUGACUCAGAGGUAGAGUACUUGCUUAGCAAGCACAAGGCCCUGAGUUCAAGCUCCAGUAUCACUA
rnacentral:tRNA from 1 species